rnacentral:rRNA from 1 species
AGAGUUUGAUCAUGGCUCAGAACGAACGCUGGCGGCGUGGAUUAGGCAUGCAAGUCGAACGAUCCCGCAAGGGAUAGUGGCGAAAGGGUGCGUAACACGUGGGCAAUCUGCCCCCGAAACGGGAAUAACUUCGGGAAACCGAAGCUAAUACCUGAUGACACCGAGCUGCCGCAUGGUGGCACGGUGAAAGGCGUCCGCAAGGGUGCCGAUCGGGGAUGAGCCCGCGGCCUAUCAGCUAGUUGGUGAGGUAACGGCCCACCAAGGCGAUGACGGGUAGCCGGCCUGAGAGGGUGGUCGGCCACAUUGGGACUGAGACACUGCCCAGACUCCUACGGGAGGCUGCAGUCGAGGAUCUUCCGCAAUGGGGGAAACCCUGACGGAGCGACGCCGCGUGGAGGAUGAAGGCCUUCGGGUCGUAAACUCCUGUCAGUCUGGAAGAAAAUCUGCAGCAAUGUGGAUUGACCGUACAGGCAGAGGAAGCUCCGGCUAACUCCGUGCCAGCAGCCGCGGUAAUACGGAGGGAGCGAGCGUUGUUCGGAAUCAUUGGGCGUAAAGGGCAUGUAGGCGGCUCUGUAAGUCGGGUGUGAAAUCCCAUCUCUCAAGGGUGGAACGGCAUUCGAAACUGCAGGGCUUGAGUUCGGGGAAAGAGAGCGGAAUUCUCGGUGUAGCGGUGAUAUGCGUAGAUAUCGAGAAGAACACCAGCGGCGUAAGCGGCUCUCUAUCCUGAAACUGACGCUGAGGUGCGAAAGCCAGGGGAGCGAACGGGAUUAGAUACCCCGGUAGUCCUGGCCAUAAACGAUGUGCACUUGGUGUUGGGGCCGCGAGGCUCAGUGCCGAAGCUAACGCAUUAAGUGCACCGCCUGGGGAGUACGACCGCAAGGUUGAAACUCAAAGGAAUUGACGG